GAGGAAUAUUGGUCAAUGGGCGCUAGCCUGAACCAGCCAAGUAGCGUGAAGGAUGACUGCCCUAUGGGUUGUAAACUUCUUUUAUACGGGAAUAAAGUGAGGCACGUGUGCCUUUUUGUAUGUACCGUAUGAAUAAGGAUCGGCUAACUCC
rnacentral:rRNA from 1 species